rnacentral:rRNA from 1 species
UACGUAGGGGGCAAGCGUUGUCCGGAAUUAUUGGGCGUAAAGAGCGUGUAGGCGGUCCGGUAAGUCCGCUGUGAAAGUCCAGGGCUCAACCCUGGAAUGCCGGUGGAUACUGCCGGGCUAGAGUCCGGAAGAGGCGAGUGGAAUUCCUGGUGUAGCGGUGAAAUGCGUAGAUAUCAGGAGGAACACCUGCGGUGUAGACGGCUUACUGGACCAUAACUGACGCUGAGGCACGAAAGCGUGGGUAGCAAACAGG